AAGGGGACGCAGCCAGGCCUUCCGGGCCUCCCCGAGUCCCGCGUUCCUUACGUGAGGGGGACGCAGCCAGGCCUUCCGGGCCUUCCCGAGUACCGCGUUCCUUACGUGAGGGGGGCGUAGCUGGGCCUCCCCGAGUCCCGCGGUCCUUACUGGUUAACUGCAGUUCCGCAUUGUUACGUUUUCAUUUUUUGAAGCCAAGAAAGCGUGCACGCCACAAAAGAAAUAUGGACCUCAGUGAACAGAUAAUAGGGAGAAUCUCAUGCACCCAUCCUGGAAUUACGUUUUUAGCUUUGCCCCCAUCACUACCAUUGGAAGGAAGCAGCUUCUGUGAGAGGCAUUUGUAAAGUCUCCACGUCUCCCCAAGAAGUCACGUUCUGCAGACCCAUCAACCAUCCCGUGUCCCGCCACUCCCUCUGGAUGCUGCUUUCUAGCUUCCCUCUCUGAAAAGAAGUCUCAUUAUGAAAACAUGCAGCAGAAUAUCUUAAACCUCCUGAAGCAGUAGAGUGUCUGUCACUCCAGGAAACUGACACUUGUCUGGCUGCUCAAGAAGUUUCCUAGCUGGCUGUGAGACCUUCCCCCCUCAUCAGAUCCUUUCAUUAACCCUGCACCAACAACUCUAAAGCCAAGAACCUUCAAGAACAACUUUAAGAACAACUCUAAAGACCAACUUUAAGCCAAGAACCAAGUUGAUGGCUUAAAAAUUGGAUAAAUGUAUACUGUCAAAUGAAGUUAUUAUUGUCACUUUACUAAUAUGGAAUGCUAAGGAUAAAUGCUAGAAAGAGUCUUGGACAACAUCUACUCCAGUGAAUGAUCUUCAAACUUAACUACCUGAUGUAGUCACUUGUGGAUUAGAGAAGGAAGUGGCUCUGCUUUUGCAAAGACAAACAAUCUCAUUUCAGAAUAAUCCCCCUGCUGAUAAUAAUUAGAAAUGCUAAGACUCUACACAACCCAUUUGAAGGCAUUGGGAAUCAGUCAUGAUGUGUGCAGUCAACAUUGCAUGCAGAGAGAAAUCCAGAGGGUAAGACCUAGGUUUAGCACAUCUUUCCUGCUUACAGCAUUUAUUGAUACCAAAGAGUCUCAUGAUGAUCUGAGUAUCUGAACAGAAGGUUUGUGAAAAUUGCAUCAUGCAGGGCAUAAGCUUAAGAUUCAUGGCCUCCUGAGAGGGAAGCUCCUUGGUAAACACCACAGGCUUCCAGUUGGGAUCCCAUAGGAUUACAUGCUAGGAAGAAGGAUAGACUGAAAAUAACUCAGCUCUCACAGGUAAUAAACCAUGGCUUUGAAUAAUCAAUUCAUGAUUGGAUUGAGGUGUUUUUCUGUGAUUUAGAUGCCUAGAAGCAGCAAAUCUUUUCUGCAAGAAGAUAAUAUAAUACAGAGGCUGAGAGUAAGUCUACAAUCUUUCAUCCACAAUGUCUGAAAUUCAAGCAAAAUGAAACAAGGAGAAUGACAUGAUAGAUUAGACCAAACCUCAGGAGAAAAUAACAACCAAUAGAAACAAAUACAUUGAGACUCAUAGAAAUUUAAAUUCAUUAUGAUGAAAAUGCUAACACGUUUAACAAGAAGUUAAAUUUCAGGAGAUAAAUAAAACUUAUCUUAAAAACCAAGUGAAAAUUUUAGAAUUAAAAACUAUAAUAAUUGAAGUUAGGAUCUCAGUUGAUGAGAUUAACAACAGAAUAUGACAGGCCAAAGAGAGAAUUAGUGAACUGGAAAAUGGGCUAGGAGAAAAUAUCAAUAUUAAUAUAGAGAGAGAUAAAAUGGUAGAAAAUACAUAAAAGAAUAUAAGAUAUAUAUAAGACACAGUGUAAAACCCUAUCACAUGUAA